rnacentral:piRNA from 1 species
UAAAAAUGAAAGAAUGAACUGCCAGACUGAC